rnacentral:rRNA from 1 species
AUACGUAGGGGGCAAGCGUUAUCCGGAUUUACUGGGUGUAAAGGGUGCGUAGGUGGUAUGGUAAGUUAGAUGUGAAAGCCCAAGGCUCAACCUUGGGAUUGCAUCUAAAACUGCCAAACUAGAGUGCAGGAGAGGAAAGUGGAAUUCCUAGUGUAGCGGUGAAAUGCGUAGAUAUUAGGAGGAACACCAGUAGCGAAGGCGGCUUUCUGGACUGUAACUGACACGGAGGCACGAAAGCGUGGGUAGCAAACAGGAUGAGAUACCCUGGUAGUCCACGCCGUAAACGAUGAAUGCUAGGUGUUGGCCCUUACGGGGGUCAGUGCCGAAGUUAACACAUUAAGCAUUCCACCUGGGGAGUACGUUCGCAAGAAUGAAACUCAAAUGAAUUGACGGGG